AAAGAAAUAUCUUUAAACUAUGCUUCUAACAUAGGUUCAAAGCGCUAAAUGCGUUUAUAUUUCU